UGGAAACUCUGAGUUUGUUAACCCGAAAUGAGGAAAACUCAGAGUUUCGGUUUCAGAAAGCGGGGUUACUUAAACCCGUAAAGCGGGGUAAGUUUAAGCCCGUUUCAAGAAGCGAGGUAACCGAAACUCAGAGUCAGUUACUAUGGCAACUGACUCUGUGAACCAAACCUGGUCGCGAGCAGGUUUUAUUCGGGAAACCCAGAGUUUCCUUCGGUCUCCGCCCCUUUUUAAAGUGAACAGUGUUUAAAUACCUCGUUUAAUCUUUCAGUGCAUUCAUAGAUUUCACCUGUUUCCUUCGCGCAGAGACCAAAAUGUCCGUUUCUAGAGGAUCCUGUAGAUGAGGACGCUGUAUUAAUUCACACGACGUUGAAUUCACGCCGCGAGAGGAUUUUGACGCCACGAGUUAAUUUUCUGUCAUAUCGCAGUGCAUAUUUAUUUGAGCGGUACCGAUUUUCUCGAGACUCCAUACAUAUAUUUAUAAUCUUAUUCACCCAUUCAUCAAACACAUCACCCAUCGUGGCCGCGCUUUUACAUCCGAACAGAUUCUUUGUGUUGCGUUACGUUUUUUUUGCAAACGGUAGUUUUCUUUAUAACAUUGGAGAUGCUGAGCACAUUAGUGAAGCCACUGUUUGUAGAAAAGUUCGACCUCAAGCGCUUUCCUUGACACAAACUCCUUAAAGCCAUUAAAGAGGAGUUUCACAGUAUUGCAGGAGAGAUUGACGGCUUUCUGCUGGAGAUAGGGGUUAAUGCCAGCUCACACUACUGACCCCUCACCCAGAACCUGAAGCAGAACCCCAGCAGCGCUUUAAUGUGGCCCUGCAGAACAAGAGCCCGGGUGGAAAUGACCAUAGGCCUGUUGAAAGCACGUCUUCAGUGCCUACGUCACCUCAGGGAAACACCUGAGAGGCCUGUGACAUUAAUGUGGCAUGUGUUGUUCUCCACAUUAUUGCAAUUAUUAGAGAGGAGCAACACCCUGCAAAUACAAGACCCUGAGGAGACUCCUUCCAUCACAGUAAUC